UGGGGAAUAUUGGACAAUGGGCGAAAGCCUGAUCCAGCAAUGCCGCGUGAGUGAUGAAGGCCUUAGGGUUGUAAAGCUCUUUUACCCGAGAUGAUAAUGACAGUAUCGGGAGAAUAAGCUCCGGCUAACUCCGUGCCAGCAGCCGCGGUAAUACGGAGGGAGCUAGCGUUGUUCGGAAUUACUGGGCGUAAAGAGCGCGCAGGCGGUCGUUCAAGUCGCGUGUGAAAGCCCCCGGCUCAACUGGGGAGGGUCACGCGAUACUGAUCGACUCGAAGGCAGGAGAGGGUAGUGGAAUUCCCGGUGUAGUGGUGAAAUGCGUAGAUAUCGGGAGGAACACCAGUGGCGAAGGCGACUACCUGGCCUGUUCUUGACGCUGAGGCGCGAAAGCUAGGGGGAGCAAACGGGAUUAGAUACCCCGGUAGUCCCUAGCCGUAAACGAUGGGACACUAGGUGUUGGUGGUAUCAACCCCGCCAGUGCCGAAGCUAACGCAUUAAGUGU
rnacentral:rRNA from 1 species